GGGUAGUCGGCGUGAGAGCGUACCGGCCACAGGGGAACUGCGAUACGGUCCCCACUCCUACGUGAGGCAGCAGUCUAGAAAUUUGGGCAAUGGGCGAAAGCCUGACCCAGCGACACCGCGUGGAGGGUGAAGUCUUUCGGGAUGUAAACUCCUGACAGGCGGAGCGAUGCCGUUUCGGAGUAACUGCCGAGACGGUGACGGUACUGCCAAAGGAAGCCCCGGCUAACUACGUGCCAGCAGCCGCGGUAAUACGUAGGGGGCAAGCGCUGUCCGGAUUUACUGGGCGUAAAGGGUGUGUAGGCGGACUGGCGUGUCGAUGGUGAAAGCUCCCGGCUUAACCGGGAAAGUGCUGUCGAAACUACCAGCCUUGAGGACGGAAGAGGAAACUGGAACUUCUGGUGUAGCGGUAAAAUGCGUAGAUAUCAGAAGGAACGCCGAUAGCGAAGGCAGGUUUCUGGGACGUUCCUGACGCUGAAACACGAAAGCUAGGGGAGCAAACAGGAUUAGAUACCCUGGUAGUCCUAGCUGUAAACGAUGUACAUUAGGCGUGGGGAUUUUCCCCGUGCCGGAGCCAACGCGUUAAAUGUACCGCCUGGGGACUACGGCCGCAAGGUUGAAACUCAAAGGAAUUGACGGGGACCCGCACAAGCGGUGGAGGAUGUGGUUCAAUUCGAUGCUACGCGAAGAACCUUACCUGGGCUUGACAUGUAGGUAGUAGUGACCCGAAAGGGAAGCGACCGGGGUUUACCCCGGAGCCUGCACAGGUGCUGCAUGGCUGUCGUCAGCUCGUGCCGUGAGGUGUAUGGUUAAGUCCCGCAACGAGCGCAACCCCUGCCCCUAGUUGCUAACCCGCGAGGGUGCACUCUAGGGGGACUGCCUCCGUCAAGGAGGAGGAAGGUGGGGAUAACGUCAAGUCAUCAUGGUCCUUAUGCCCAGGGCUACACACGUCCUACAGUGGCCGUUACAAUGGGAAGCUACAUCGCGAGGUGAUGCCAAUCCUGUAAAAGCGGCCAUGGUUCGGAUUGCAGGCUGCAACUCGCCUGCAUGAAGAUGGAAUCGCUAGUAAUCACUGAUCAGCAUGCAGUGGUGAAUACGUUCCCGGGUCUUGUACACACCGCCCGUCACGCCAUGGGAGUCGGCAACGCCCAAAGUCCCUCUUCGGAGGGCCUAAGGCAGGGCCGAUGACUGGGGCGAAGUCGUAACAAGGCA
rnacentral:rRNA from 1 species